UACGGGGGGGGCGAGCGUUGUUCGGAAUUACUGGGCGUAAAGGGUUUGUAGGUGGCCUGCUAAGUCAGACGUGAAAUCCCUCAGCUUAACUGGGGAACUGCGUCUGAUACUGGCGGGCUUGAGGACAGGAGAGGAACGCGGAAUUCCUGGUGUAGCGGUGAAAUGCGUAGAGAUCAGGAGGAACACCCGUGGCGAAGGCGGCACUCUGGGUCGCACCUGACGCUGAGACGCGAAAGCGCGGGGAGCGAACGGG
rnacentral:rRNA from 1 species